rnacentral:rRNA from 1 species
UACGGGGGGGGCAAGCGUUGUUCGGAAUUACUGGGCGGAAAGGGUUCGUAGGUGGCUUGCUCAGUCAGACGUGAAAUCCCUCAGCUUAACUGGGGAACUGCGUCUGAUACUGGCGAGCUUGAGUGCAGGAGAGGAACGCGGAAUUCCAGGUGUAGCGGUGAAAUGCGUAGAUAUCUGGAGGAACACCGGUGGCGAAGGCGGCGUUCUGGACUGCAACUGACACUGAGGAACGAAAGCGUGGGGAGCGAACAGG